UACAGAGGGGGCAAGCGUUGUUCGGAAUUACUGGGCGUAAAGGGCGCGUAGGCGGUCUUGCAAGUCCCGUGUGAAAUCCCUCGGCUCAACUGAGGAACUGCACGGGAAACUGUUUGGCUUGAGUUCGGGAGAGGGAAGCGGAAUUCCGGGUGUAGCGGUGAAAUGCGUAGAUAUCCGGAGGAACACCGGUGGCGAAGGCGGCUUCCUGGACCGACACUGACGCUGAGGCGCGAAAGCUAGGGGAGCAAACGGG
rnacentral:rRNA from 1 species